rnacentral:lncRNA from 1 species
UUCUUCAUAUCCACCGACACCUCAAUGUUAAUGUUGAUGCGAGUAUAACUGAUUUUAUCGGCAGAAAAAAAAACGUCGACUUGACUUUGAGUAAAUGUAGCAUUGUCUUUGUGUAUGAAACUGGAUCUGAAAGUUAUUCAUAAAAGUUCAGAAAUAUUAAAUUUGUUUAACCAAUUUUUGCCCAAAUUUGAGUUAAAAGAUUCGUUCAAAAAAGUUGAAAAUCUUUGCCUUUGACCCUCUGUG